rnacentral:snRNA from 1 species
GUGCUCACUUCAGGAGCACAUAUACUAAAAUUGGAAUGAUAGAAAAGAUUAGCAUGGGGCUGAGGAUGUAGCUCAGUUGGUAGAGUGCUUGCCUCACUUGCACAAGGUCUUGGGUUCAAUCCCCAGCACCGCAAAAAAAAAAAAAAAAAACUAGCAUGGCCCCUAGGUAAGGAUGACACACAAAUUUGUGAAGCAUUCAUAUUUUAA